UCUAACGCACUAUCCAUUUCCUUUCCUCCUCUUAAGGCUGUUGUUCUUCAUGAUGAAGCCUCACUUUUUUACUGGAUGUAGUAAGCUAGGUCGCGGAUGCUCUUGAUCCCUUGUAUUUUCUCACCACUACGUAUGUCUUGGAUGUAAAAUUGAUCGUUUCCAAGAUGGCCAGUGAUGAGGAUUCACUAGAUGAUCAAAACCCUAGAUCUUGGACCGUUAGCAACACUAGUACUAUUAACAAGACGGAAGAAGCAUCCAGCAUGUUCUCGGUCCAGGAUCAUCACCCACAAAGAGCAGUAGUGAACUUUUUAAAGGAUGACAAUACCACCAAAACGAUCCAUGAGCAAUGGCAAGCAAAAGCUAAGGUUGCCUCGUAGCCUAUAAGCCGGUGUUAUCCCGACUGAGCUUUCUAUUAUCCCUAAACUCUCCCAUAUGCCUCUAGUUAAAUCAUUUUCUGGCCACUUCUCAUGCCAGAAUUAAUGUUCUUGACCUUGUAAGGCCUUUUCUUGACCUUGUAAGGCCCUCCCCUUACGUUUCUCGUGCCGCCGGGUGUCUCCAACCUCACACUUUCUCCCCCCUUCUAUCCCUCCUGAGCUAUCUCCAUGCAUAUUUUGUCUAGCAAUCUAGAUGAGACAUGAGAGAUGAUAUUGGAAUAAAAGUCUGUGGUAAAUUAAGUUUUUA